UUUUUGCCAAUUAUUUUUCAAUUCAUGGGGCCACUGACAAAUGAGGUUUACAUCCAGUCUGACAGAAUUACUCUACUUUUUGCAAAAUGUCCAUGUUCAUAAUAGUUGAACUGUUGAGAAGAUUUACUAAUUAUGCUCGACUGUACAUAAGCUUAAUAUGCCUAAUUUACUAUGUAUGUGAUAUCUGAACUUCCUCAACUUAUUGUGAGUGCAUAGUUCAAGGGAAAACAAUCAUGCAUCCAUUAUAGGGGAAAAUGAAAGUUUCCCCCUCUUACAAUCCAUUGUGCUGGUUAUUUAUCAUAGAUGGCAUCUAUUUAUGUCUUGUUUUUCCAAGUUGGUGACAAUAAGUGCAUAUGUUUCAUCUGAAAAUCUCAUACCUUUCCAGCAUUGCAUCAAUUCAAAAAACCUUAUAUAUUUAUUCUUUGACACUACUAGGUAGUUAUGAUAUUGGUUUUCUGAAUUGGAUUGCAGGUUUGCCCCAUGAAGUGUUUAUAGACCCUGCAUCUAGUGUUUUUUCUUCUUUCCACUUAGUUUGAUGAUAGGUAAA
rnacentral:misc_RNA from 1 species